rnacentral:lncRNA from 1 species
CGAGAAACGCCUAUCGAGAAGCCUAGUGACGACGAGAAAUAGAGCUGUGGUGAGUUUGCUUGUCGGAACUAUUUAGUCUACGUAUUACAGUAGUGGAACAUUAUUGUUAAAAUUGUAAUUAGUUUAGUGAUUGAGUGCAUCAGUGAAGAACUCAAUAUCUUGGGUUCAAUUCCUUUUGAAAACUAAUUUUAUUUUUCUAAAAGUAUCAAAACGACAUCAUAUUGUUUUUUUUUAUUUAAAAAUAAAAGAAUUAGACAGAUGUCAAACAGAAUCAAACUAAUUUCAUACAUGGCGUCUACGUAAACACCACAUCAGCAACUAAACCAAAAUUAAUUCUGGUUAUGUAGCAAUUGACUACAUUUUAAUAGUAUGUGUAUGAAAUUUAAAAUUUACACUAGUUUAUGGUAUUUAAGCUUGAUUAAAAUGUUCAUGUAUGAAAAAAGAGGAAGCAGUAAGUCUAUAAGGGAAUUGACUGUUUUUCCUUUGUUCUCGUAACUUAUAACUUUUGUGUGUUCUUAUAUAAAGAAUAUUCCAUAUACAUAUAUUAUAUAUAUGUUAACAAAUUCUUUGUAAAAUACUAUUUGAAAUCAAAGAAAAUUCUGAGAUGAUUUGGGGAAACUAAUUGAACUGAUUUGUGUGGUCUAGGAGGAAUAUUUGAUAAAAACAUCUAUUGCAAGGGCUUUGAACAUGAUAAUGCAAAAGCGCAUUUGUGCUCUAAAUUUUUUUUUUUGUUUUUUUUUGCAAGUCCAUAUUUUAU